rnacentral:miRNA from 1 species
CGGCUCCGUGACUCGUCCGUGGAC